UACAGAGGUCUCAAGCGUUGUUCGGAUUCAUUGGGCGUAAAGGGUGUGUAGGUGGCGCGCUAAGUCGGGUGUGAAAUUUCGGAGCUUAACUCCGAAACUGCAUUCGAUACUGGCGUGCUUGAGGACUGGAGAGGAGACUGGAAUUCCUGGUGUAGCGGUGAAAUGCGCAGAUAUCAGGAGGAACACCAAUGGCGAAGGCAGAUCUCUGGGCCGUAACUGACGCUGAGGAGCGAAAGCAUGGGGAGCGAACAGG
rnacentral:rRNA from 1 species